CAGCACCGGAGAAACCUGCAAGAUGAGCAGAGGAGGAUGUCAGUCCCAGAUGAGCAAACAUAAGGGUAAAGAUUUUGAGGCAAUGCAACUUUAAAACAUUUACAUACAAGUGUCAGGUAUCUGUCCAUAGUCUCAUUUCUACCUUCUUUAGCCCAGAAAACGGAGUGACCUUCGCUUGAGAAUGAGAUCGGACUAAAUGCACCACCACCACAUUAACAACGAAAAGGUCUGCCAGCCCAUUUUUCCAACAUCCAGGCCUUUUCUGUUGCUGUGACAACGACAAGGACACAAGGAGGCAACCUUGGAUGCUGGACAGCUUUGUUUCAAUACAACACUGGCUUCUUCAUGAAGGCUGUCAGCUUUACAGGACUGACUCACACCUCGCAAACAGUACCGUCUGUAGUGAG